UACGUAGGGGGCAAGCGUUGUCCGGAUUUAUUGGGCGUAAAGAGCGUGUAGGCGGCCGUACAGGUCAGCUGUGAAAACUCGAGGCUCAACCUCGAGACGUCGGUUGAAACCGUACGGCUAGAGUCCGGAAGAGGAGAGUGGAAUUCCCGGUGUAGCGGUGAAAUGCGCAGAUAUCGGGAAGAACACCCGUGGCGAAGGCGGCUCUCUGGGACGGUACUGACGCUGAGGCACGAAAGCGUGGGGAGCAAACAGG
rnacentral:rRNA from 1 species